AAAACAUUUAUUUUCUGCAUAUGUUAGUCAAAAGAAGCCAUUGGAUCCCUUGGAAUGAGAGGUACAGACAAUGUCAGGGGCCAUUUAAGUCCUAGGAAUUGAACCUGGGUCCAAUGGAAGAGUUUUCAGUGCUCUUAGCUGCUGAGCUACUUCUCCAGCCCCUAAAUUUUUUUAAGGGCCUCCAGUUCUUCCUCCAGCUGCUGAGACUCCUCCUUCACGGCCAUGAGAUAAUCUGUAACAGACUGUCGAGGCUGCAUCCCCUUUUCAAAGCGGUUAUACAUCCCACUCCAAAACCUGGGAAGGAAGGAUACGACACGUCCCAUCUGAAACCCACAGUCUCAAGUCUCGUCUUCAGUAUCACAGCCCAACAAUAUUAUAACCAACAGCAAGUUACAGGCUUGAAAAGCAACUGCUAAAGGAAGUUUCCAAACUGGCAGGAGUAAACGUGGUGCUGAAUGUGAAUCAGAAACCUCUCGUUGAACUCAAAGGCGCAAGGGAACUGUUCCAUUAACUGCCAGACACACUCAAUGAACUGGUCGAUUACUGGAGAGAUUUCUUUAGG